GCCGUACUCCCACUUAUGGGGCAGCCUCACUUAUGGGUCAGACCCCCACUUAUGGGUCAGACACCCACUUAGGGGGCAGCCCCACACUUAGGGGGCGGACCCCCACUUAUGGGGCGGACCCCCACUUAUGGGGCAGCCCCACACUUAUGGGUCAGUCUCCCACUUAUGGGUUGGACCCACACUUAUGGGUCAGACACCCACUUAGGGGGCAGCCCCACACUUAUGGGGCGGACCCCCACUUAUGGGGCAGCCCCACACUUAUGGGUCAGCCCCACACUUAUGGGUCAGUCUCCCACUUGUGGGUUGGACCCACACUUAUGGGUCAGACACCCACUUAGGGGGCAGCCCCACACUUAGGGGGCAGCCCCACACUUAUGGGGCGGACCCCCACUUAUGGGGCAGCCCCACACUUAUGGGUCAGCCCCACACUUAUGGGUCAGUCUCCCACUUAUGGGUUGGACCCACACUUAUGGGGCAGCCCCACACUUAUGGGGCAGCCUCACACUUACAGGUCAGACCCCACUUAUGGGGCAGCCCCACACUUAUGGGUCAGCCCCACUUAUAAGCUGUACUCCCACUUAUGGGGCACCCUCACUUAUGGGUCAGACCCCCACUUAUGGGGCAGCCCCACACUUAGGGGGCGGACUCCCACUUAUGGGGCGGAUCCCACUUAUGGGUCAGACCCCACUUAGGGGUUGGACCCCACUUGGGGGUCAGCCCCACAGUUAUGGGGCAGCCCCACUUAUAGGCCAUACCCCCACUUAAGGGUCAGACCCCCACUUAUGGGUCAGACCCUCACUUAGGGGGCAGCCCCCACUUAUGGGUCGGACCCCCACUUAUGGGUCAGACCCCCACUUAUGGGUCAGCCCCCC
ensembl:lncRNA